rnacentral:sRNA from 1 species
AGCAGCCGCGGUAAUUCCAGCUCCAAUAGCGUAUAUUAAAGUUGUUGCAGUUAAAAAGCUCGUAGUUGAAUUUCGGGGUUAGUAGGCUGGUCGUGCCACAGGUAUGUACUGGUCUUACUGACUUCUCCUUUCUGAAGAACUGUAAUGCCAUUAAUUUGGUGUUGCAGGGAAUCAGGACUGUUACUUUGAAAAAAUUAGAGUGUUUAAAGCAGGCUAACGCUUGAAUACAUUAGCAUGGAAUAAUGAAAUAGGACGUUCGAUCCUAUUUUGUUGGUUUCUAGGAUUGACGUAAUGAUUAAUAGGGAUAGUUGGGGGCAUUAGUAUUCAAUUGUCAGAGGUGAAAUUCUUGGAUUUAUUGAAGACUAACUACUGCGAAAGCAUUUGCCAAGGAUGUUUUCAUUAAUCAAGAACGAAAGUUAGGGGAUCGAAGACGAUCAGAUACCGUCGUAGUCUUAACCAUAAACUAUGCCGACUAGGGAUCGGAUGAUGUUAAUUUUUUAAUGUACUCAUUCGGCGCCUU